rnacentral:rRNA from 1 species
AUUGAACGCUGGCGGCAGGCUUAACACAUGCAAGUCGAGCGAGCGGCAGACGGGUGAGUAAUGUCUGGGAAACUGCCUGAUGGAGGGGGAUAACUACGGGAAACGGUAGCAAAUACCGCAUAACAUCAUAUGUGCCCAGAUGGGAUUAUCUAGUAGGUGGGGGAAUGGCUCACCUGGGCGACGACCCCUAGCUGGUCUGAGAGGGUGACCAGCCACACUGGAACGGAGACACGGGCCAGACUCCUACGGGAGGCAGCAGUGGGGAAUAUUGCACAAUGGGCGCAAGCCUGAUGCAGCCAUGCCGCGUGUGUGAAGAAGGCCUUCGGGUUGUAAAGCACUUUCAGCGAGGAGGCGUUACUCGCAGAAGAAGCACCGGCUAACUCCGUGCCAGCAGCCGCGGUAAUAC